rnacentral:rRNA from 1 species
AUGUAUGGCCAUAUCCCUUUGACUGUGCCAAAUCUCAUCAGAUCAUGGAAGCUGAGCAGGGUCAGGUCUGAUUAGUAGUUAGAUGAGAGAAGAGAUAUGAAAUACCAUAUUGU